CCCUUGACAGGCCCUCCAAAAUGCCUGCAGCUGCCUCCAGCCAGCGCCACGUGAGGAGUCCUGAUAGAGGGGAAGUUGAGAUGGAGAGAGUCAUCAAUAUUAGCCCACUGCAGGUAAAAGCUAUUCUGAUUUUUGUGUAUUUUUAAAAAUCAAUAUUCUUUUUUUUUUUUCUUUCUAUCUUUGGUGCCUCAUGCAUACUAGGUAAGUACCCUCCCACAGAGCUUACUCUCCCAGCCCAAGAAAAGAACUAACCUUGAGUACCUAUGAAGGGGGUCUCUCCCAUUCCUUGAUAAAAGUCUAUGCAAAUGAGGGACCCUUAAACUCAAGUUUUAUGGUAAGUCUGUCCCUGUCACAAUUCUUCGGAUUCAUAUGUUCAGCCUCCUGUGCUUCCUGUGGGCAUCCUAGAGCCCCACCAGCGCAGCAACUCUCAAACCUAGUGCACUACCCUCUCCCUGCCGCUGGCAGUGAUAUUGUCCCUGUAGCAUUUGAUUGUCCACUUUCUCCCCAGUUACCCAAGUUAAAAUUAUGACAUAAUUCCCUUAUUUUUUUUUUUUUUGUACCAGGGAUUGAACCCAGGGGCACUUAACCAUGGAGCUACAUUCCCAGACCUUUUUUUGUAUUAUUUACUUAGAGAUAUGGCUUUGCUGAGUUGCUUAGGGCCUCCCUAAAUUGCUGAGACUGGCUUUGAACUCACAAUCCCCCUCUCCCCUCGUCUCCUGAGCCGCUGGGAUUACAGGUGUACGCCACGGCACCUGGCAGAUGCAUUUUUUUUAAAAUGGUGUAUCAUAAUUAUAUAGUGGGACUCUUUGUAACAUAUCCUUGCCUGCACAUAAUUUGAUCAAUUUCAUUUGACAAUUGCCUUUAUCUCCUCCAGUUCUCCAACCUCUAAUCACAAAGUCCCAUAACUUAAUUCCUGUUUCCUGAAUCUAUUCUCUUCUUUCCAUCAUCCACUACUCUUGUUGAGUCUCUCAUCACUCUUUUGCCCAAAUAAUUGCAAUAACUAACUGUUUUUCUUCUCUCCCUCCAUCUCGUGUCCCUCAAUUUCAUCCACUCCACAACUGCAUACUCAAUGAAUUAAAACUCAAACCUAACUAUUUAUUUCUUUUUUAAAAUUUAUUUGUGUCUUGUUUUGUUUUGUUUUGGGGGUGUUAGAGAUAGAACCCAAUGCCUAGGCAAAUGCUCUACCACUGAGAUACAACCCCAGCCCCUAAUCAUAUAAUUCUAAGCCUGAAAUCUUUCAGUCUGCUGGCAAGGUUUAGGUCACUUAAUAUGACACACACAGCUGUCCAUCAUGACACUGCGGCUGCUGUGGUAGCUCCUCAAGCGUGGAUUGGGAAUCCACUAACUCGAAACUGCUUUCAUAUUGCUAAUGGAAUUAUUUGCCUUUGCACCAUCUUUCUUUCAUGAGCAUACAAUGGAGUCUUCAGCAGUGACAGACACACGGUGUCCAGUGCAGGAGCAGAUAAGAGAAGCCAGCUAUUCCUACUGUGUACAGUAAAAAGACUCGUGAAGAUGUUGACCACCACCACACUUCUCAUUAAGUCAUAUUCAAGAAAAUUAUUUUCCCCAUAAAAUAGAAAUUAAGGUAAUA
rnacentral:lncRNA from 1 species